GGAAAUCUCACCAGGCCCGGACACUGGAAGGAUUGACAGAUUGAUAGCUCUUUCUUGAUUCGGUGGGUGGUGGUGCAUGGCCGUUCUUAGUAGGUUGAGUGUUUUGUCUUGUUAAUUCCGAUAACGAACAAGACUCUGUCCUGCUAACUAGCCCUCGGGUCCUGCUUCUGUUGGGCCCGACGGAAUGAUUCGCUUCUUAGAGGGACUCGCGGCGCCUAGCCGCACGAAGGGGGGCGAUAA
rnacentral:rRNA from 1 species